CCAUCUAAGGCUAAAUAUGACCACGAGACCGAUAGCGAACAAGUACCGUGAGGGAAAGUUGAAAAGCACUUUGAAGAGAGAGUUCAAGAGUACGUGAAACCGUUUAGGGGUAAACCUGAGAAGCCCGAAAGGUCGAAGGGAGAAAUUCAUUCGCGUUUCGUCGCUGGCGUAGGGCGGUCGUGUGACGGGGAGAGCGUUCGCGUUCUCUCCGCGCCUUCCGUCCGUCGAACCGGCGGCGUACGCGUGCACUUUUCUCCUGGUAGGACGUCGCGAUCCGUUGGGUGUCGGUCUACGGCUCGCGGUGGAGCCCGUUCGUCUCACGACGAGCGGACCCGCGUGUCCCGGCCGACUCGCUCGACGGUAUACGAAAGGUUUAAGGCCGCUCUUGGAGCGUUCGGCUCGCGGCAAGCGCGUCAGAUGCGUCGGCGAUCGGACCCGGUGCCGAUUCUGACCUCUGGCGACUGUUGGCUGCGAAGUUCUCGAACAGACCUUAAGACCGAUCUGCGACGCUAUAGCUUUGGGUACUUUCAGGACCCGUCUUGAAACACGGACCAAGGAGUCUAGCAUGUGCGCGAGUCAUUGGGAAUUAUUAAACCUAAAGGCGCAAUGAAAGUAAAGGUCUUCCUAGCGGAGACCGAGGGAAGACGGGCGGCUCACCCUUAAAAGUGGCCGCUCAGCACUCCCGGGGCGUCUCGUUCUCAUCGCG
rnacentral:rRNA from 1 species